CAGCCCUGAGUCAGAAAGGGAGGGCUGGAAGCCAGACCUUGUGACCUGCCACGUGCUAGGUGGGCAGAACCAGUGAUGCUUUGCGGGUACAAACAGCCCUGGACUCCCCAGGCUCCUGAGUGCAGCUCCUAACUGCUCAUCAUUCGCUAAAGCUGAAAGCUCAAAGCAAAUAAACAACCAUGAGGCUGUUCUUGCCAGUCCUGCUGGUCACUCUGGCCCUUUGCUGCUGUGAGACUGAGUAUCAUUUCUAAUAAGUCCAGAACCAGCUGUGCCAAUGCAGCUGCCUGUCCAGCCAUUACUGCUGAUAUAGGAAGCUUCUUUCUCGAUUCUGACUCUGCCUUCAAGCCACGACUUCGGAAAUAUCAGGCACCUCCAGAAGCAAGUGAUGCCACGAUGCAAGUGAAGCAAUGUAUAAAUAAGAUUUCUGCUGGGGACAGAGACAGAAUUGUAACGACCUUGGUAAUUAUUUCUUCUUGGUACAUAGAGACAUCUCUUCAGAUGAACAGAAAGGAAGGAGGUCAGGGUGCUGCUCUUGGGGGGCACAGAUGGUAGAGGCACUUGCCUCUCUGU
rnacentral:lncRNA from 1 species